GCGGCGUGCUUAACACAUGCAAGUCGAACGAUGAACCUGGAGCUUGCUCCAGGGGAUUAGUGGCGAACGGGUGAGUAACACGUGAGUAACCUGCCCUUGACUCUGGGAUAACCUCCGGAAACGGAAGCUAAUACCGGAUACGACGCACGGAGGCAUCUCCUGUGCGUGGAAAGAACUUCGGUCAAGGAUGGACUCGCGGCCUAUCAGGUAGUUGGUGAGGUAACGGCUCACCAAGCCUACGACGGGUAGCCGGCCUGAGAGGGUGACCGGCCACACUGGGACUGAGACACGGCCCAGACUCCUACGGGAGGCAGCAGUGGGGAAUAUUGCACAAUGGGCGCAAGCCUGAUGCAGCAACGCCGCGUGAGGGAUGACGGCCUUCGGGUUGUAAACCUCUUUUAGUAGGGAAGAAGCGAAAGUGACGGUACCUGCAGAAAAAGCACCGGCUAACUACGUGCCAGCAGCCGCGGUAAUACGUAGGGUGCGAGCGUUGUCCGGAAUUAUUGGGCGUAAAGAGNUCGUAGGCGGUCUGUCGCGUCUGCUGUGAAAACCCGAGGCUCAACCUCGGGCCUGCAGUGGGUACGGGCAGACUAAAGUGCGGUAGGGGAGAAUGGAAUUCCUGGUGUAGCGGUGGAAUGCGCAGAUAUCAGGAGGAACACC
rnacentral:rRNA from 1 species